AGAAGAAAGGUGGAUCUAGGUUAUGAUCAGCAGAAAUUGUACAGAGAUCAACACUGGUUGGCUAGUUCCCAUGGAUGCAGUUUGCAGAGGCUUCAUGCCUGGCUGAAUGUAAUGUUGGUGUAGAAGAAGAAAUGCUAAAUUAACUCCUCGGUUAAAAGAUCUUGCAUGGAGGGGUUCAUCUGGAAGAAUGAGCAAGAAGGUGCACUGGAUAUUUCAAGAACAGAAAUGGUAGCAUGAAAAGAGCCUAAGAAGAGAAGGAGAUGAAAGUUUUAAUGAAGUGGAGUAAGAUCCAUCCUGAAAGCAGCAAAACUGAUAAACACAGGAGCCAGGCAGGAGUGGAAUGUCAGUGGAACCUGAGGGACGAGAGGGGGAACCAGCCAGGUGUGGCUGAGGAGUUUAAAACUCAGUGGAACAGCACUGUGCUACCAGCUGCUCCAGGACCUUUCCUGGGCAUGAUAGCAUAUUCAACUGCUUCAACUAACUCGUUUUAAUUAAGGUAUGAAGCCAUUUAAGUAUUUCUUUGGCAAAAGCAGUAUGAUCAGUGAUUGUGAAUGAUCUUACUGCUGCUAUUUUCCAAGUUUUAGUGCUCUAUUAAAAAUCACUUUGUGUCAUUUCUAAUUGCUGCUUUAAGGAUUGUCACUUCCAUUGCCAGUGAAGUUGCUUACUGGAAUAAUGCCAUCAAGAAAAUACAACCCACGUCCAUUUAAAGGCUACAGAUAAGAGAUUGGA
rnacentral:lncRNA from 1 species